rnacentral:tRNA from 1 species
ACCUGGCUGGCUCAGUCGGUAGAGCAUGCGACUCUCGACCUCAGGGUUGUAAGUUCGAGCCCCACGUUGGGUG